rnacentral:lncRNA from 1 species
AAAAAUCGACCUGAAACGCAGCACUGAGUCUAUUGGCAUUGUUGAAAGGAUCGAAUAUGACCCUAAUCGUUCUUCUCGGAUCGCUCUAGUACGAUGGGGGGUUAAGCUACGCCGCCAGAGGAAAUGCAACACGAUAGAAGAGUUCGCUCCGCCGCGUAAGAUCCUAGAAUCCACCAUUGCCACUAUCUUUUGCCUUUAUUCGUUCUCUUCCCUGCCCGGUCAAGUUUCUCAAAGAAGGGGCUCCCAAGCCAAGUGCUUGCUUACGCUUAAUGUAGUGGUCGGCCUUCCAACCUUCAUGCCUCCUUGGUCGAAGAGCCAAGCCAGCGCAGGAAGCAAACAAACUAGCGCGAAGGACGUUUUCUUCUCUUCCCUGUCCUCCCCCUUUGCCAAGGGAGAUACUACAUCCCUUUGCUUCGAUAGCUCUUUAAGUAUCCCAAGGAUAGCAGUAGCUGGGGCAAAGCGCACUUUCUUUGCUCCGCGAAUGAGAGAUCAAGUUCUUGGAAUCAAUCCGUUUUCUCUUUGCGAGAUCCGAAAGUGGAGAACGGAUUGCGUUAUCUGGGCACAUAGGAUCAAACGUAAAGGAGCGCUUUCUUGGCAGAGUUUGAGGCAGCAAGAAAGAUUAGGGCUUGUUGAAGCAGCUGAGCAUAAUGAAUCGAAGCCGAAGACGGAUCAAGGUAGCUUGCAAGCCAAGCCUAUAGGCGAAGGUAUGAAGGAUAGAGCGUGCAAAGUCGAUCGUGCACCUGUCGUGUGACCCGUUGGUCCUAAGCAAUGUCUUUUGCGAAGCGACCCACCUAGAAAUCUCUCUCCUUUUAGAGAGUAACUACAAUUGAACUUCAAUCAGAUGCGGGUAUCCAAUCCCGCCGCUGAGAUGUCCAGCGGAUUCCAUGGCCUUGACGAAUGGCCGGACACCAUUGUUGUUAGAAGAGCAAAAGGCCUGGGGCAUAGCAGGAUGAACCAAUGUGAAUGAGUGUUAAGCUUCGUAGUCCGAACACGAUUGGUGCUGACCACACUAGGAGCUACCGUGGUAGCAAGAGAGGCCAGGCGGUUACAAUUGAUAGGUUGUCACUGAGCAUUCCGUCUCACACGGGAAGAGAGGUUUCAUUGCAAGGCUCAAAGGCAAUAAGCCCGUGUGGAUCCUCGCGGAGUAUAGCUCACAUCCAAACAUCUGAUUGGGGAACGGGGCAACGCCCAUGAAGCUCCGGCAGAAAGGGAAGGUCUGCCAGGCCGUAUGCGCAUGGGUGCAGGAUUCUUCGAAAAAGCAAGGGCUGACUCGGAGACCUGAGACCUUGGCUUAGCAACGAAUGAUGGGAAGCUAUAAGAGCUUUCUCUGCCAGCGGCUUAUGUAGUGGUCGGCUCGCUCCACUUUGCUUCUCCCCUUAUUCCACUUCAUGAAAUUCAGUAGUAUCAAUAAGCUACUUGUCGAGUUUACAAAGCUUUGUUUCUUGUAGUAUACCCGCCUACCUUCAUUUGCUUGGCGGGCUUCUUAUAAAAGUCAGGAAGGAAGCAUUGAGGUGGUCGACCACUACUAAUAUUUCUUUCUAUACCAAGUAAUGAGCGAUAGCGAAGCCAAGCCUCUUUUUUAAGGCGGGUUAGACCUGAUGGCAAAAAGAUAGAAGUGACUUUGCCGAGCCGAGGCUAAGGUUAUGGAAUUACAGAGUGAGUUUUAGGUAGUCAAACAAAAUAACUGGCUUAGCUGUUCUGUUCUACAAAGGAUCAAAGCUUUUGUGAAAAAGUCACUUAUCAGUCUACAAAGAAAGGGAGGAGUAACGCUGUGGAUAUAGACUAGGCGUCGUAACAGAGUCUUGUCAGUAUGAACCUUAAGGGAAUAAGUCCGCCUUGUCAGUAUGAACCUUAAGGAAGAAGUAAGCGAAAGUGAGCUCGUAACUAAUAAAGCUGGUAUAAGAAACAAAACCCUAACAAAUGGAAUCUAUAAAUUUCAAGCUAAGAAGUCAAGGAAGGAAGCAGCUUCUCUAAUAACCGAGCUUUGGCUUGAUUUUCAAAGGAGAGAGAGAGGGGCUUUCUAGGAAGAGCCGUACGAGGCAGCUCACAUACGGUUCGGUAGCCGAGCCACAGGACACAGGGGCUUAGGUCAACACUUAUAUAUUAGCAAGUCAUCAAUUGGAAGCGGGUAAAACGGUGAUGAAUUGCGAUUGGUCCAAACCUUCUAAAAGCUUCUUGCGACCUGCCCAGAAUGUCCAUACAUACCUUCGUCGGUUCCAAGACCUUGUUCCCACUGCGAAUUCAGAUCGGGUUGAAGGGAGCAAUGAGCUGGCUGCUUCUUUGCCACGCCCCCCAGUUUCUAGAUACAGGAAAGGAGAUCUCAAUUCUCAAGUAGGAAAUUGCAUACCAUUAGCAAAUCUACGUAUGGGAACAUGGGUACAUGAUAUUGAAUGUAAUCCAGGUCAAGGCGCAAAGCUAGUUCGAGCCGCAGGAACAUAUGCGAAAAUAAUCAAGGAGCCUGCCUCACUCUGUCUUGUGCAGCUACCUUCGGGUGUUUCCAAACAAAUAGAUUCCCGAUGCCGAGCUACAAUUGGUAUAGUUUCUAAUCCCAACCAUGGUGCACGUAAGCUUCGAAAAGCUGGACAAAGCCGGUGGUUAGGCAGACGCCCCAUUGUUCGUGGUGUUGCAAUGAAUCCAGUGGAUCAUCCUCAUGGAGGAGGUGAGGGGCGCACGAAAGGAGGUAGACCUUCGGUGUCACCUUGGGGGAAGCCAACCAAAGCAGGAUUUCGGGCAGUAUUGGGGGUUGGUCAAGUCAGAAUGUAGUUAAUCAUGCCACGACGAUCUCUAUGGAAGGGGAGUUUUCUUGAUGCUUUCCUGUUUAGAAUGAAGAAGAACAGAGAACAGAUUGAUAGCAGGAAAAUUUGGUCACGUAGAUCUUCUAUUUCGCCAGAAUUCGUUGAUUGCUCCGUACUCAUUUACAAUGGAAAAACUCCUGUUCGUUGUAAGAUCACUGAUGGAAAGGUUGGGCAUAAAUUUGGAGAGUUUGCUUUUACACGGUCCUCGAAAACAAAUAGAGUAAAGGGAAGAAAGGGGAUAAAUCCAGUCUAAGCGCCAUAUGGCACGAAAAGGAAAUCCGAUUUCGGUAAGACUUGAUCUGAAUCGUAGUUCAGAUCCAAGUCGGUUCAGUGAGGGCGACCGCGAAAGUAACCGAAUGGGUCCGGUCCGUCUUUUCCUGAUCUUUCUCCCAUAGAACAGAAAUGAAAGGCAUGGAAGGACGUAGCAGAUGUCCGGGACGGACACGACUUCUUCUACCGCUAGAAGACCACAGGAAGAAAUCAACCCUGGACUAUAGCAUGUCGUGAAAGAGGCACCCCAUACUAUGAAAAGCGGGCGUGUUUCCACCGUGUCUCCGGAGCACAGUUGAAUGUAGAUAUUAUGAACGCGAGGUGAAGGAUACCAGGCCGAUAAACCAAAGCAAGCAAGCACUCCCUAAUGUGCUGAUCCCUAGCGCAUCCAGGGCCCCGGCACCCAGCUCGCUUAACUGGAGAGUCCGUAACAGAUCUUAGAAGUUCUCGAGUCGUAUAUCAGCCCUGUCCUAGGAAUAAAUCACCCCAAAUAGUUCACUCAGUUUCAUUUCUUAGCAGCAGUGAAUAAACCGAAAGAGGAGAUCGCCAAGCAGGCAAGUAACUACGCUCGGCUUAGCACUAUGCUCCGCUUCAACAAAUGAUAGUUUUCGGUAGAACCGGUGAACCACGCGAGCAGGUUAGAUGCGUGGGACAGAGGGCUCAUAGUACCAUAUUUCGCAGCUAUGCAGUGGAUGAGAAGGAGCCUAAAUAAACCAACCACUCCCAUUCUUUUUUAUUCAAAGACAGACACAAAAGCACUGUUCUCAGAGAUUGGACUCUCGGAUUAGACUAAGCAGCUACCGUUCCGACGCGCCCCUAGUGGACUUGGCGGUGCUCUUUCUUUUCUCAAACCAUAACAACUCUUAACUUUAGGGAAGAUAAGGGAAGACCACCUGAGCGAAUCGACCGAAGGCACUUUACUUAUCCCAACCGAACGUUAGCGGCUUCUAUCACGAGCAGCGUCACAGCAGCGGGGAGGAUUCUCUCCAAGUAUGGGGCAAAGGAUCAAUCGCUUUCACAUUGUCCCCCGGGAUCCACUACAGGUUUGGUUUUCGAGCCGUGUGAUGGGUAACUAUCCAGCACGGUUCAGAGAGCAAUUUUCUUUAGUCUGCGCUGGUGAAUAGAAGCCCCUAGGUCUAAUAAGCAGGAUUUCUUUCUCUUCCCACGGCUCCGUCACUAUUGACUCUAUUUAUUAUUAUGGUAAAUCAGUCUAUCAAGAUGUCAAUCUUAGAUCUUAUUUCGGUUCGAUACGUCCACCUACAAUAUUUACCUUUGGCUUUCGUCUUGGUAGGUGUAUUAUUCUACAUUUUCCAAAAAGGACAUUUAUGAAUUUCUUUCUUCCCCGUCGACCACUACGACUGAAACAACCCGACAAAUCAAGACCCGGAAAGGCUUUGGGCCGGUGGUGGGCAUUUGAGAAAGUCGGGCCGAUCAGGUGUCUUUAUUCAAGCGAGGGUAAAGAGGAACAACGAAACGAAGUCAGAGGCCAGGGGGCAAGGAAAAGAGUGGAGUUGAUAAGGCUCUUAGACCGGGAUAAGCAAAACUCAAUCCUUAUUUGGCCGAAAAAGAAGCUAAGCUAUGGAUACCAUGACCGAUCACCAUCGAUAAAUACUCCUAUUUCUAAAUUACUUCGGGUCAGCGGGGCGCAUCCUAAAUACUUAGGGGUUGUAAAUAACAUAGCCUUGAAGAUGGAGAAUGACCACUCCUCCAGAAGAACUCCGUUAUUAAAGUUCUUUUUACCAAAGAAGUACCGCGGCCCGACGCGGACCCUCCCAGCAGCAGCAGUGCGUCCAUCCUUUCAUUAUUUGGUUAUGCAAUACUUAUUGAAUACAAAGAACAAAAUGCAUUUCGACCCCGUCUCCGUUCUCAAUCAUUUCGUGGCACCGGGUUUGGCUGAACCAUCUACUUUGAGGGGAAGUCAGGCAGGAAGCCACUUCGAAAGGAGAAUACGCUCUCGCAUCGCUUUUUUAGUAUCAAGCUUUACCAGCGAUAGAAAGUGUCUUGGCCAAGUCAAAAGGAGGUUUCUCCACUUAAUUAGCUUGGCGAAUGAUCUUCGCUUCGCGGGAACAACAAAAACAACCAUAUCACUCUUUCCUUUCUUCGGUGCUACCUUUUUCUUUCCAAGGGAUGGAGUCGGGGUGUAUAAGAACCUCUUUUUGGACAAUGCCCGGGAACAACUCCUAGGUCAAUUAAGGAUCAAAUGUUGGAACCUCAUGGGUAAGGCUCCCAAUGCUAUAAUUUCAUUAAUGGAUAAAUUAAUGGACCUCGGUGAUAUUAGAGAAUUAAUAAAAGGAAUAGAUAUUCUGAUAGAGAUCAUACUGAGAAAGAGGAGAAUUCCUUACGGGUACAACUCUUAUUUGAACGAAGUGCACAAAAUGCGAUAUAAUCUGUUUCAGAGAACUCAGACUAAUACCUUAAUUGAGUCGGUCAAGAUCAAAUCCGUUUGUCAAAGUGCUUCUCUGAUUGCUCAAGACAUCUCUUUUCAACCGAGGAACAAUCCAAUCUCAUUUCGUUCCAUUUUUAGUAAUAUAGUCAAGGAGAUUCCCUUAAUAAUGCCUAAAGGGGUGGAGGGGAUACGUAUUAGUUGUUCAGGUCGAUUAGGAGGUGCGGAAAUAGCUAGAACUGAAUGCGGAAAGUUUGGAAAAACAUCUCCUAAUGUAUUUAACCAGAAAAUCGAUUAUGCUCCCGCUGAAGUCUCUACUCGUUACGGAAUUUCAGGUGUCAAAGUGCGGAUCUCAUAUAGUAUGAAAAAGAAGGGACGUGCUACAUCCGAAACGUACAAAAUAUAAUAAAUCUAGUAAAAGCAGAUGUAGUAGGGGUUGCGAACCAGACGGUACACAACUUCGUUUUGGAAGAUAUGGCACCAAAAGUCGUGAAGCAGGUCGUCUUUCAUAUCGAGCCAUUGAAGCAGCGCGUCGGGCUACAAUCGGACAAUUCCAUCGUGCUAUGAGCGGACAAUUCCGAAGAAAUGCUAAGAUAUGGGUCAGAGUUCUCGCAGAUCUUCCUAUUACGGGGAAACCUAUAGAAGUUCGAAUGGGAAGAGGAAAAGGUAAUCCUACGGGUUGGAUUGCUCGUGUGUCUACGGGACAAAUCCCAUUUGAAAUGGAUGGUGUGAGUUUGUCAAAUGCUCGACAAGCCGCUACAUUAGCAGCGCAUAAACCAUGUUCGUCAACCAAGUUAGUUAUGUGGUCGUAACGUAAUUGGUUAGUGGAGGGCGUCGUUGCUUGGCUCUUUUUCAUCGCCGAAAUUCGUAGACGAACCCUCUUUUGUUCCAGGCGUACGACCCUGAGACGAGACGAGACGUAACCGAUGUCACUUUUACGGCCCUCCAGACAGUUACUCAAGUAAGAAUAAGAAAGAGAAGGAAGAGCUCCAAUUCAAAGAAAGACUCCGUUUUCUUUUUCACCGAGCCACAUCUGGUGAGUAUGUGUUUUAGAAGGACUCAGGCAAAAGCAUGCAUGGGCGUAGCGCUUGAGCUUAGGUAGGAUUUCAGAAGCUCUAUCUGUAUAGUAAGGCUUGUCUCUGUUGGCAACCAAUCAGACUCAAACAAUAGCAUAGGAAACAAGAGCGUAGGAGUGAGAGGCAGGAUAAGGAGAAUAAAAGACAGAAAAGUCAGAUCUAGGUGUCGUAGUUGAAGAGCAAAAGGCAGCUUUUAGUUUAGUGGUUGAAGAGCGGCCGGGGCAAGUAAGGAAGAGUAGGCUAAUAGGCUAGAGUUUCAUUCCCAUUUCGUGGUGGGGGGGGUCUCAUUCUGAGUCAUUCUGUAACUAUUUCAUUCUCACUUUAACCAGUUUCUUUCUUGGACUUAGCAGUUCCAUUCUUCAAUUCAGUAUUCCUAGGCUUAGUUCCACUAGUAGGCUUAGUUCCACUAGGGCAUCAGGCAACUGACUUAAGGCUUAUACUCGCUAGUGGAAUUCUGUAAACUCCCAAGCGUAUACUCGGUGCUUUGCUUUAAGGCUUCUAUUUACGAGUGGAAUUCUGAUAUUAGUACUAGGGCAUCACUUAUCUUAGUACUAGGGCAUCAGUGGUUGAAUUCCGAUACUGCUUAGGUGCAUUCUGAUCUACUACCCUCCCAAGUGUUGAAUUCUGAUCUUAGUAGUAAAUGUAGUGACUUGGCCAGCUAUUUACUUAUAACUAACUACUCUAAGAACAAGAACAGACUAUCAUCUAUAAUACCAGGCACUCGAGCUCUACAUUCCUUGGUGAAAGAUUCUACCUUGCCUAUCUCUACUUUGGCUACUGAGUUUGGCUACGCCGUUCCAUCAAAACAGAAUCCAAGUUUCAAUAAGAGAAUCGAACUAAGUAGUACAAACCAGCAAGCAAGGACCCGGAUCGGUAUUUCCAGAGUUUCGCUGAGGAGCGGAAGAGCAACAUGAGCACAUAAGAAUGAGAGGAACAAAUGCAGGACAGCAAAUACGGGACAACAAAUAAAGGACGGAGAGACAGGAUCGGGUCACUCGAUACUAGCUAUGAGUAGCAGCCUCAUUUGUAUAGUAGUAGGAUUAUGAUAGCAAUAGUGAAAGCCUCGGUAUCAGUGGUCCGAGCCCUGUUGUUAGUUGUCAUUCCCUGGUUAAUAGUUUGAUUCCUAUGGUAAGGCGUUUAGUUUGUAUCCGUUACUUGGUGACUUAUCGACAGGUUAUUUAGAAUAGGAGUUAGGGAAGGCAUACUUCAAACAAGUAGAGUUAGACUCAAGGGUUGGGGUAAUAAGCUCGGAUUAUAUUAAGUAGUCGUAUAGCCUUAAAGGGAGUAGUUUCAAACCUUAGGAGCAGUAGGCUUUCAGCACCUUCUUUUUCUUAUUCUAGUAGUGAGGGGUGCCUAUUCAGUAAGUCUGGUUUCAGCUAGAGCGGAGUCGUAGUUCAUUUUCGUUAUCCAUAAAUGAAGUCAGUAUUAGAAGUCAGAGUCUUGUUAGGCGCCUAGGGCAUCUAAGCUUCCGAAUUGAGUUCGUUAGUGGUAUGUUUGAUUCUAAGUUCCCAGUCCUCCUCUCUUAUUAAUUGAAUUCCCUAUGCCCUGUGUCAUUCUUACAAGUAUAUGGGUUUGAUUCCGAUUAUUGCUAGUCAACAUUCUUUUUAUUAUGAUUCCAUUAUUAUGGGUGUUGGUCCCAUCCCUAUAGUCAGAGUUUUUGUCUUAGGAAGUACUCGGGGAAUUCUGACUUGGAGUUUAAGCCCUUGUAGCCGAACGUUCAGUUAAGUAUUUCAUAGUCUUAUAAGCACUAGUGAAUUUCUGUCCUUGUUCGCCUAGUAGUCUGCUCUUAUGUUUUCAACUCUGAGUCUAUUACUAGAUGCGCUAUCCUCUUACUAUUAACUACUAAAUUGAGUCUUCUACUGACCUAGAUCAGACUCCCAGUCCGGGUGCCAAGGAACAAAUACCAAAGGAGGAAAUAGGUAUUAAGGCUAUCUGAAAGGAAAGUAAUACUUAAGGCAAGGAGAGGCGGGCCUAGGUUUGUUCCCCAGGGAAUGCAAGGGGCCAUUAGAAGACUUACGCUCAAACAUAAGAUCCAUACAUCGACGUUUGAUUGUGUCCUAUAGUCCCAGCAAAGGUCCAGCACAAGAUUCCGGCUUUCCAUUAGUACGCUCACACGACCUCAGUAGUUCAAUUCAUAGUUAUGCGUUUGAGUACUCUUUCUCUCUUGUAAGAAUUGAUUAAUGGAAUUGGAAGGUGAGAAACAGAAUCCGCAGGAGCUAGAUCAGGUACAGGUGCAGUUCCAGGCCCAACAACAAGACUAAGUAGAGAGAAUAGAAGAAAGCACCAGGAUAGAUAGCCGGUAUUGCACUAAAGAAUGGUGUUUACUUAUAGGCUAGGGACCCAACCCAUACAUAAAAGACAAAGAGAGGCCAAGUCGAGUAGUAGAGUUAGGGGAAGAAUAUAGUCACGAGAGAAUGAAUCAGCGGGAUAUUCGGCAGGAAGUCAAGUUUAGUGCUAUCGGUCAGGGUCAAUUGUUUUCUCCUAUAUAGUAUAGUUUCAUCCUUAUUUGUUGGCUUGAAGACCCGGUAGUUGCAGAGUUGAAGACCGGGUUAGUUGGAUAACCUCUGUGCUUAGGGCGUAGGAGAACCCGGCAAGUCACUUCUAAUGUGUAGCUUAUGGGAGUUCUUUGCUCUCUUAGUCAAUACGCCGUUCCAUUCUUUAAUUCAAUCAAGUAGUAGUCUAGGUAAAGUUACAGUGAUAAAGAAAGACAGAAAUCAAGCUUUACCUUUUACAUCCCCGGAUGGCUAAGUAAACUAAUUCAGAUUUAUUACUACCCCAGACACUUGCUGCUGGCUCUGCUCUCGCUCUCCCUCCUUUCUCAUUAGAACUACCCUUUAGCCUUGAUUCUUACAUCCCAGCUUCAUUCUUGUUAUAGGCAGUAGUUCGUUCUGUGACUCCUAGCUUUAGGUCUUACUCUAUGAUUCCUAUGUGUAGGGUUCGACCUGCCACUCUUCACUCUCAAUCUUGUUGUUGGUUUGAGCCUGACACUGUUUAUAGGCUUGGCCCGUUGCUUGGAGUCUAUUACGUUGUUUGUCUAGUUGAAAUGAUUCCAAAAAGGGUUUGACGGCCUUCUUGAACUGAACCUUGUAGUGGUGGACCUCCUCUCUUGUUGGUAACGUCACUGAUUGUCCUUCAGUGCGAGUUUCGUCUUCAAGAUCAAGAUUAGUAUCUUCAGACUUAGAUGUGGGGAGCAGUGCCGAGAAUAAGCCUAGAGUCUUGUGCGCGCUAAAGUCAGUAGUAAGUUCAAGUGAUGAUCCAGUGUAUCCAAAUAUAUGGAAAGCAUAAGAGUGUUGUGAAAGAAGCAGAAGAUGGAGCUAUAUCAGAAGAAAGAAAGUAAACAUCAACGAGAUCAAAAGCGGGAUCAGGUGAUUUGUUCCAGAUUAAAGUAGAGUUUCCGUUAAAGCAGUAGAAUCGCGACCAGACCAUAAAGGGUACGUUCGGAUGGAAUCUUAGAGAUCAGAGUUCUUGGCUAGAAGUCUGUAGAGACAGGUUAUUGUGUUGAAGCAAAAGAGAAAGAGUGAGAUUAGCCUCAUUCAGUUAGCAGAGAUGAACUAGAAGUAUAGUAGCCAUAGGAGAGGAAGUAUUUGUUUACAGAGGACUGGUCUAGUAGCCGAGGUGAACUCAUCGGUAAGAGCCUCUACUAUUUGCUAUGAAAAAUCCCGGGAAAACGCACAAAUCGAAUUCCCAAUAGGUGCUCCAGGAAGGAAAAGAUCUUUGCUAUCAAAAAUCCNNNNNNNNNNNNNNNNNNNNNNNNNNNNNNNNNNNNNNNNNNNNNNNNNNNNNNNNNNNNNNNNNNNNNNNNNNNNNNNNNNNNNNNNNNNNNNNNNNNNNNNNNNNNNNNNNNNNNNNNNNNNNNNNNNNNNNNNNNNNNNNNNNNNNNNNNNNNNNNNNNNNNNNNNNNNNNNNNNNNNNNNNNNNNNNNNNNNNNNNNNNNNNNNNNNNNNNNNNNNNNNNNNNNNNNNNNNNNNNNNNNNNNNNNNNNNNNNNNNNNNNNNNNNNNNNNNNNNNNNNNNNNNNNNNNNNNNNNNNNNNNNNNNNNNNNNNNNNNNNNNNNNNNNNNNNNNNNNNNNNNNNNNNNNNNNNNNNNNNNNNNNNNNNNNNNNNNNNNNNNNNNNNNNNNNNNNNNNNNNNNNNNNNNNNNNNNNNNNNNNNNNNNNNNNNNNNNNNNNNNNNNNNNNNNNNNNNNNNNNNNNNNNNNNNNNNNNNNNNNNNNNNNNNNNNNNNNNNNNNNNNNNNNNNNNNNNNNNNNNNNNNNNNNNNNNNNNNNNNNNNNNNNNNNNNNNNNNNNNNNNNNNNNNNNNNNNNNNNNNNNNNNNNNNNNNNNNNNNNNNNNNNNNNNNNNNNNNNNNNNNNNNNNNNNNNNNNNNNNNNNNNNNNNNNNNNNNNNNNNNNNNNNNNNNNNNNNNNNNNNNNNNNNNNNNNNNNNNNNNNNNNNNNNNNNNNNNNNNNNNNNNNNNNNNNNNNNNNNNNNNNNNNNNNNNNNUAACAGCCUGUGUAUACCAACAUAGUAAUUUGGAUGUUUGAGAAGUUGACCCCGGCUUAAACAACCAUAAAGAAACCUUAUUUCUUGCCUUCACAGAGUAGAGUUGUGGUAGGUUCGGUAAAACCUGCGCUUUGCCUUAGUAACUCAACUUCUUGUCUUGCUGUUCGAGGUGAAGAGUAGAGAUCAAUCGACUCUUGUCCAAGAAACUAGUCCUGUUUGUUGUCAGCGAUAGGUAGCUGCCCGGAGUCAGUCCUGAUUGUCUUUCUAUAGUAGCAGGAUUAGAUGCAAGAUCAUCAACUUAUGAAUUGCCAGUUACAGAAUAAUAAGGAAAUAGACCAGAAGCCGAAGAUCAUACCCACCGGAGCGCUUAAGCUGUUCGAGUGUUGUCUACAAGAUCCGGACCAGAAGAUAGAGCUGGUGAGGAAACAGGAGAAGUUCGGGCAUUGUCUGCAAGAUCCUUUUUUGCAGAGCGGUUAUUUAGCUUUAUUGUCGUGUGGAAUGUGCUUCUUGUCCUUCCGCUCUUGUUGAAUCAUAAAAAGAAUAAGUCUAUUAGGCAGGGAAUAUUACUUCUUUAUAUAUAGGUGUUCCAUAGAUUUGAUUGAUUUCUUAACUUCCAUUGAAAGGAGAGGUUGGCUUUGGGGAAGCUGGAAGGAAAGUAGACCACNNNNNNNNNNNNNNNNNNNNNNNNNNNNNNNNNNNNNNNNNNNNNNNNNNNNNNNNNNNNNNNNNNNNNNNNNNNNNNNNNNNNNNNNNNNNNNNNNNNNNNNNNNNNNNNNNNNNNNNNNNNNNNNNNNNNNNNNNNNNNNNNNNNNNNNNNNNNNNNNNNNNNNNNNNNNNNNNNNNNNNNNNNNNNNNNNNNNNNNNNNNNNNNNNNNNNNNNNNNNNNNNNAAUAGUCCAGCUGACUGACUUGCUAUGUGUUUUAAGAAUGAAGUUAGAUAAGCCUGAGUUCAAAGAGGAAGUAUGGAGGCCCUUAUUAUAAGUUUGUGAACUCAAAUGUAAGAAUAGAGCUCAGUAGUCAAAGAAUGAAGAAGUACCCUAGAUGCGGGGAUUCAGUGCUUGUGUUAAGCCAUGAGUCAAUAGAGAAGUUGUAGCUUGGCGGAUAAGAAUCAAGAGCUGUUUCCGUUCUCAAGUCAGCAGAAGCUAGAGAAGGAUCCGAUCCGGGUGUUGGUAAGAAGAAAUUCCAUGCUUUUUAGUGGAAUUAUUAGUAGUGCUCUGUUCCUGUUCCUGUACUUGUGUAGUAGUGACUUGGCCCGAUGCUCUAGUAGUAGUAACUAAGGUCUUAAUUCCCUAGUGGAGAGCCUCAUUCUGUUAUUGACUACUUUCAUUCUCACUUUAUUACUUCUUAGUUUCAGAAGACCAGACCACUUCUUAUAGUUAGAAUCGUUUCUACCCCUUAUAGUAAAGGUUGGAUAUAGAUACUGGUCAGAUUACUAAUACAUACAUAUAUACUUUAGCUCGAAAGAAAGAAGACUGUCCUGUUGAGACUCGGAACAAGACUCAGUGAGAGUUGAGAAAUUGACAGUGCCAGCAACCAACAGCAAAUAUGACUUGCUACCACUUGUGGCUUUGCUUGUUCCGGUGAUUUAAGCAUUUUCCCCUAGCAGUGGAUUCCCACACUUUUCGCAAGAGUCCCUAGUGUGCGCAAGCCCUUAAUGCGAGUGAAAAUUCCGUUUGUGAGUGUCCAUCAUAUAUAGAAGCGUCGGUAAAGUAGAGUAUAUAAGCUGUCUUCGGAUUCUUAAGCAAGCAGUACAGUCAUUGUAUCAAGAAGCCCACGUAGCGGUUAAGCAGUUAAGUAAGAAAGAGAAACCGGAGCUGUUUUCCAAGUAGCCACUAGUUGACAGAGAGGAGAAAGAAGUAUAUGAGCCCUAGGAGCAAGUCAGAAGAGCUUAGUAUUGGUGCCUAGCCUGAGCUAUAGUAGCCAUAGCUCUCGUUGCCAGAGUGAGAUUCGAUGGAAAGGUAUAGAUAGGAUAAAAGAGUGCAGCAAGUCAGAAUUAUUGUAUAAAGGUAUGGAAUGGCGCCUAUAGAGAACCUGUCCUGUCCGAUAAACAAGUAGUGGAUUGGCGAUGAGAAAUAAUUCAUUGAAAGCCUAUAAACCAGGGGUAUUCGUUAUCAGAGUUGUUGGCUUGAAGACCAGAUUGAGAUAUAGAUAACAGCGCUACCACGCAACAUUCUCCUAAGCUUGGUGGCUUUCACACCAGAAAGAGAGUGACUUGGCCCAUAGUUUAGUCUUCUCUUAAGUGGACAAGUCGUAGUUAAGUUUCAUACCAAGCAAGUAGUCUCGUAGUUGAAUCCCCUUCAUUUGUAGUUACAUCCCCUGUGCAAGUUCUCAAGUCGGAAUUCCACUCAGCAGUAACAGAAUCCGAAUUUCACUCCGCAGUCACAAUAUUAAACCACUAAGAAUCAGAAUGAAACUAGCUUGACCUAGACUUGACUUCUAUUUAAGAACUGCCUGCCCCUUUCACUAAACACAUGGGUGAUACUACUGGAUUAAUGAACUACCUUUUCUCUCUUUUAUCAUUGCUUAACAAAUAGCUUAUACUACUUGCUUAAUUAAGACCUCUUGAAACUAUCCCUCUCCUCUGGCUACGCCGUUCAAUUACAACUUUGCUACGAGGUUCUAUUUAUCUAUAUACUAGUGUCAUUCUUAUACAUACUAGUUUCUGUUCUUCCUUUCCUACUUUCGAUAACUAGGCUCAGUGUUACCGAGAAGUUGGGUAAGUAAACAACCAGCUGACAUCUGACUCUCCUUAUUAGAAGUGCAAACUCUUGAACUCCUCCGAUACAUAUAGUUUCUUAUUUCCUCUUUACCUCUGACAUCUAGUACCUGUACCUCUGACAUCUUUCCUCUUUCACUCCUUUAAUUAAUAGAAUAACCCAUGCUAACCCCCUCAAAGCUGUUCUAGUGCAUUUCUUCUUAAUCACAUAGACCUGCUCGCUCCUAUAUCAGCUCUUUCAAACAAAAACGACACUUUCAUAACAGACCUCGAACUGGAACUGGGCUCUAAUCUACCUCUUUCAACUGCCCAGCUAGUGACCGAUUCAAAUCUCCCGAUGAGUUACAUUAGUAACAAGUGAUUCUAUACCUAUGGCUCCUGUACCUAUGGCUUCUCACUGGAACUUGACUCUCAUCCCUCUCUGGCUCUCUUACCUAGGCGGGGAACAAGACAGAUGUAGUUAGUUGCUCAGUAUACUUGCCUAAUAGCUUGGCAGUUUCCCGUUUCAUUCUUAAGUUCGAGUCGAGGUCAGGUCAGGGCAUAAUCUCGUGUUUCAGACCGGAUAUAGUGUUUCAUACCGGUUGUAAGGAAACUGGGCAAUUCCAUCAGUGUCAUCUACUAUACCUUCAAGUUGUAUAAGUAGAGGAGGGUAAACUAAUGCACUAGAUCUAUUCCUUUCUACUUAUACUCUAUUGUACCUUAUUCUUAGUCGGACUUUGACCCUAUUCUUAGUUGCUAUAAGACUUACUUGUCUUAGUCUGAGUAGUACCCUAUUCUUAUCCAUAUCUUACUUGUCUUAUUCUAUGGAAACUCCCCUUCCCGCAACAAAGCCGAUACUUUCUUCUCUUCUUGACGACCCGACCUCUGUGAUUAAUUAGUAAGAAGUGAUUCUAUACCUCUGGAAACUAUACCUUUCCCUUGAAUCUAACGGAAUUGUCCUGGGAUUGCUACUCCACCUCCGGUUUUGGUGAAGAUACCUCGCUUACUAGCCUUUACUUGACUCAACGCCUACCUCGCCUCUGGCUAGGGGCCAAUACAUAGAGAAUUCCACAAGUUGCUGUCAACUACCUCCAAUAGUAUGGGCGGGAAGGUAAGAUCUUUCUGUGCAAGGGAAGUAUCCAAGAGAAUCAGUUGUCACUCCAUACAUAUUCAUUCAUACUGAAAGAAGUGAACUUAUACUCGCUAAAGCCAAACCAAGCAAGUAAGUAAGUAAGCAGUCAGAUUCCACAGAAAAGAAAGGGAAUAGAGUAGUGAGUAUAGACCCACAGAGCGGUAAUUAUUGAUUCAGAGGCUCAAGGCUAAAUAACCCUGUGGGGUAAGAAAGGACUCUAAAUAAAGGUUAAGGUCAGUAACAACUACAAUACAAGUUAUUACAAUUCGAAGUUCUUACAAUCUUAUACAGCGCUAAGUGAAUCAGUAGAGAUAAGUUCGGGGUCAGGGAAAGUAGUUUACAGUGAAAGUGAAGGAUGCCGGAUUAGGAUCUAAAGCGUGAUCUGUAUCUUCAGCCGAAGUGAAGUAUUGUUUUCGGGAGUUACGUAGGCAGUCAGGUAUUCGAUCUAUAGGAGUCUCUUUCCGUUCUUGGUGAAUCUGUCUUUGUUGUGGCGGUUAAUAACUUCCGGUUUAGAAGAGGUCGCCAAAAGGAAAAGAAGAAAGAGAAAGUACUAGAGCGAUGCCGAAUAAUUCCACUCGACAGGAAUAAUGGAACUGAACUUAAUGGCAAUACCUCCUCCUCACGGCAAUACCUCCUCCUCACGGCAACACCUCUUCUUUGUAUGCUACCUAAACUAUAUUUCCAUCUUGAUUCUUUCGAGCACCUGUGCCAACUCCUUUCCCUGACCACGCCUAAACAUGUUUCAUGAAUGAUCAAUCAGUCAAGCCCCGAGUAGUGGCCUUAUCCUUCUGGUCUGAAGCAAGGUUGCAAUCAUACGAGUUGGUUGCUUCGAAGGUUGCUGUAGAGAGAGAUUAUGAGUUGGCGUAAGGAAAGUGAAACAAACUCUACUCGUAUAGAAACGAGGGAACUCCUUGACCCUUUCCUCUAUCCGCUUAAGCUUGGGUAUUCAUGAAAAAAGAGAUGAAUUAGGCUUUCAAAUAAGAUGAAAGUAGAACAGGAGACUCAUAUACGCCAGCUUCCGCCCUUAACCUAACCUAAGCAUGAGAAAAAAGAUGAGUAUUCGGCUUCCUUGAGUGUGGUUACAAAUCCGUAGGUGCACUCGCAUUCAACGCACUGUAGCUUAUAAGAGUAAGCAGUUAGGUUACUUCAUUCUAUCAUAGGGGAGCAUAGCACUCAAUUCCAUUCUUUCGAACAGAGAUUGCAGCCCUCAAUACAUACCGCACUUUUCCCUCAAACCCUUCACAAGCAUAAAAGCUUUGACUUUAUUACUAUCCAGAUUUCUUCGUACGCUUCUAUAUGCGAUGAAACUAGAACACCACUUUCAGAUUACCCGAUUGCCGCUUUAGACUUAAUGGACGCCCCACUCUAUUGACUUUCUCCUAUAGACGGUGAAGUAAGACCACAUGAGGCAGGUUUCUUAUCCUAGGAUAGAUCUCUCUCCACGACCAAUGUCAAAACCAAUACUAUCUUUUUCUUCACCGACGGAUUCUCACACUGUUGAUUCUCCUGAAGGACUUAGCGCGCAUUAUGAAGUAGAAGAUAUUCUUUGCCGACCCGACCCAGAGCUACAACUACUAGAUACGAUGAAUUAGCCUACUUGAACCCUGACUCGUAUACAAUACAAGGUUUGAGCUACAUCGGUUACGACUUGUACCACUACAAGGAAAAGAAGCCUUAUUGUCUUUGUUUCCAACUCAAUUAGUAGCCACCUAAAACAUAAUGGGCGGUAAAGAACAGGGAGAACUCCACUAAAGUAUAAGGAGCUAUGCACUGAACCAACUCACUACUCGGUGUUGGCUUGAACACUUUUCUUGAGAGUGCAAGGCGAGGCGGGCUGUAAACUAACCCUUAUUUGGAGUCUUUUAAGCCGUGGGUCGGAUCCAUUAGAGUAAUCAACCUAUAAAACAAAACCCCGGUUCGGCUGUUAUAGUUAAUUAUAACCUAGAAAGAGAGACCUGUGAGAGUGGUCAAUAGAUUCUGUCACGCCUUACUGACAUCCAAUAGGGCUUUACAUAAACUGGUUUGAACCCGAGACUUUCAAGUUCUAUGUAGAUUGGCGCUACGGUUACGAGAUCUACUUGUUAUCUUGGCAAAGCGCAUUAAGUAAGUAGAUCCUUUAUACCGAUCCGUGUAGUGGGCAUUCGCAUUCAAUAAAUAUACGAUCAAAGUAAAGCACAACUGAGUAAAGUACUAAAUAAGAGUCAAGAGAUGCUCCAACACCGGCUGACUCUGACUGACGCCACGAAGAGAAGAAGCACCUAUCUCUCCAAGACUUCUUGCUCCGGCAAACUAAACUGUCUUGCUUGCUAAAGAAUGAAUUGAGGAUUUCGAGUCUAGCACAGAAGCUGAAGAUCUACCUGAUUGAUGAAUGGAAUCUUUCUCUUACCCCCGAUUCUCUUUAUUUAUACUUUCUACUUUCUCUCGGUGACCUUAAGAACUCUACUUGCGUCUUCAACCAAUUAACUGUUUCUUUUCCAGCGGAAUAGGGAAUUGAUUCUGACCUUCAUCCUGCAUUCUUUCCCGUUGACUCGAUACCUGCCUAUAAGAUUUCUUUGCUUUGCCCCAGGUGAGGUGCACCAAAUGAUCUUCUUGUGGAGUUUGUUCAGAGGUUCGGUUAGGUUACUUACUGUGCCUCUCUAUCUUAUACUUCUAUUUCCAAUUAUCCUCUAUCGUGGUUCAACUCUCCACUCUGUUACUUGUUCUCGUAACUCGCUAAGGAACUCCUUUAUACUAAGCUAGUUGGAACGUAGCUUGUAGGAAGCAAUUCUUUGUUGUUUCAAAAUUCCAUAUUAUGCAAGAGAGAUCAAAUGAUUACUUGACUUCAUUCACACUGGCCCAAACUCCAAUUAUCUGUCUUGCUCGUGGAAGGUAUCAUAUCUCGUCACAAGUUGCGAUUCAAUUAAAGCAAGCAAACAAGCAAGAAAGGCAAAGCUGUAUCGCUCGCGCAUCCAUUCAUUCGUUCUUAAAAGAAACAAGCGAGCAACUAUACAAGCAAGACGGAACAAGAAGCAACGGCAAGGCAAUAAGAAGAGAUUACUUAAAGCGAAGAGAGUACUUAAGGGUUCGGAAAGGAAGCAAUGCUCGGUUGUUAGUAAGGAAAGGUGCUGAAAGCCAGUUUGUUUCAUCUCUUAUAUAUUCUGUUAUAGCUCCCAUUCUUUAAUAAGUUCCGUAUUCUGCUACUAUUCUGGAAUAAUAUUUAUAUGAUAUGCGAUCUAGAUGAAUUAACUUAUUAAUAUCAUAUGCGAUUGAUUUCAAUGAAAUUCCUGGCCUGGGCGCGCUGCCCUACUUGCCCUACUGCUCGACAAAGUAUCAAGUUGCCUUUUUUGGGGCCCAGACUUAUUGUUAAUGGUUGCUUCAGCAGUAGAAAGUUGCUUCGACCCCGGUGAAGUAGCUCCCUAACGCUAAUAACUCAACAAACAAAAAGCAAUGGCAACAUUGCGCUAACGUGAGUUUGCCGGCGAAGCAAUACUGGAAGAAAAUCAUACCUAUACAUAGUAUACUUACCCCAACCUAGCCUGCCAGUCUAACAUUUCUUAACAAAAGAGAGAGCAUUGCUAAAAUGAGCAUAUCUUAGCUCUUAAGUGUUUGCUUUCUUUCAUUUCAUAAUAAAGUGGAUGGAAUUCAAUCUUACUUGAGCCAGGUAAGGGUAAGCGAAAGAAGGGGGGAGUAACACAGUGUUGGUUGUUAAUAUCUUAUAUGUUAUGAUAGCUAUCUUCCAGCACAGGAUAGGGAGGAAAUAAUGAGUGUUUUUACUUUUCAAUAGAUUCUUUCAUUAGAUAGAAUUAUCCUAUUUUGGAAUAUAAGAGCAAAAGACAAGCAUAUUGUGGAAUAUAAGAGCAAAAGAAAAGUCAUCAAUCAUAAGAAAUAGAUUCCCGCCUCGCCUGUGCUUCGUAUCAUAAGAAUUGGCGCUUGCUUUCUUAUCCAGUGCUUCGUAUCUGAUCGCGCUAUAGGGGAUUCGGUACCGCAAUAAUAGGUCUUUCUGUCUGCCUAACAAAAGAGAAAUGGCCGUAAGUCUACUUAGUUCAUUCAUGCUCAUAAGAUUCUACAAGGGCCAAGCAACUAAGCGCCAAGCAACUACGCAAGUCCUGUAUACUUGACUGGUAAGAAAGAGCUGCUGUUAAGAACUGGAACACUUGUGUAUGUACUAUUACCUUCUCUUAGCGUGCACAGUUGCAUGCUGCCUUAGGCAUAUAUCUCUUUCUUAGUUUGUUUCAAGCUUUCCUUAUAAGUUAGUUAGUUUCUUCCUUAUAAGUAAUAUAUCUCUUUCUUAGUUUGUUUCAAGCUUUCCUUAGAAGUUAGUUAGUUUCUUCCUUAUAAGUAAUAUAUCUCUUUCUUAGUUUGUUUCAAGCUUUCCUUAGAAAGUUAGUGUUUAGUAAUGAAUAAAUGUUGUGUAUGUUUCGUCUAUAAGCAAUUCUUUUGUAGUAACACGGAAAGGCAGGCAACUCUUACACCCUAACUCGUGGAAAGUGAGGCCCGCUCGGGCGGCUUCUUAUUGGAUUCCUAGUGUCUACUUUCACUGGUCAAUCAAUCUUUCUUUAUUUCGUCAUGGCACUAAAGAAUCGAUAAAGUAUGUUAGCAUGCAUCACUCAUUACUAUUCGGUACUAAAGGAGAUGGAAAAGCCAGUAUCCGCAGAGCCAGCCUAUAAAGUAGAGUAGGUCCCCUGUAGCAGAUGGAAAUCCAAUGCUAAAGUAAGUGGUGACUUCAGCUGCUAAAUAGGCACAUAUAGUUAACAAGUAAUGUACUUCGGGUGGGAGAGCAUAUAUUCAUUCGGUACUCUCAAGGUCCAAUUGGCAUUCAAAGAGGUUCAUCGCCUCACUUCUCCAAGCGCCGGAUAUUAGGAUAUUUAGUACUCUGAUUUGAGUACUCUGAUUUGGAUUAGGUUAGGAACCAUUUGCUGUUACCUGCAUUGCGAAUUCUUAGGCUAGGUUCCCGUCCCCACUUUCUCCAUUUUAGGGUUAGGGUCCAAGCAACUAGGCGUGGAAAGCAUAUCCCUUACUCGCAUUCGCCUAAUCGAGCAGAAGGCCACUCGGUGAUCAUCCUAUAACUGGCUAGAGUGAGUGUCACAUUACCUAUAACAGGCUAGUUUGAAUGCAGUAAUUAAGGGCACAGGUUUCUAUGGUUCUAUUUAGUCCUGAUUGAUGAGGGUUGUCAAAGACCGGAUCUUUGCACUUCGCAACCCUAUCAGAGUAUGUGCUUAGUGCAAGGCCUCAUAGAAGUUAUAGGUAAUGUAGUAAUACGAGCUCCGGCCCUCAUCUCAUACAAAAUCAACAAGUUAAUGGAUGUUCCCAGUAUUUUCUUGGACCCGAUCACUUUCACCUUUGAUAGAUCAUGGCGGUUUAGUUGGUUUGGGAAGUUUAGUUGAGACUGGGCACGUGCGUCAUCAAAAUGGAAAAGGUAAAGAAGAGAUGGAGGCUCGAAGAGAGGAGAGCCAUUUGCAUCGACCGCUCCUGACGCCAUGAAUACCAAUAACAGUACAAGUAUGGAUCGCCUCUAUAUUGUGUGGGUGUUUCUACUAUUUCUUCAAGCUAUGGAAAAUAAUGCGUAUUGUAUGCCAUUCUCCCAUCAUACUUUCGUUGGAAAACCCAACGCCAAGUCAAACAAUUUGUCUCCUUUCACUUUUCGGGAGCAGAGCAGUAAAAGAAUAGCAAUUCUCAAUAAUGGAAGAGUUCUUCUGGGGAUGUGACAUAUAUCAAACCAAGGAAAUACAAAGUAAGCAAAUAGACGCUACAAUACUCAUGGAAAAAAUCGACUAUAAGAAUGACUUACUAAUGGAUAAAAUACACUAUCAAAAUGAUGAAGUACAAAGUGAGCAAAUAUACUCUCUUCCCCAUUUGAAGGAAAUAACAAGAUUGAGUGCGGAAAUGAGGAUACAGGACUGCAACAGCUUAAGCCCACUUGAGCAAUUUACCAUUCACCCAUUAAUUCUGAUUCGUGGGGGCAACUAUUAUUUCUCAUUCACAAAUCCAUCCUUGUCUCUGCUGCUCACUCUCGGUUUGGUCCUACUUCUGCUUUUUUUGGUUACGAAAAAGGGAGGGGGAAAGUCAGUGCCAAAUGCUUGGCAAUCCUUGGUAGAGCUUCUUUAUGAUUUCGUGCUUAACCCAGUAAACGAACAAAUAGGUGGUCGAAAUGUGAACCAAAAGUUUUUCCCUUGCAUCUCGGUCACUUUGACUUUUUCGUUAUUUUGUAAUCCCCAGGGUAUGAUACCCUAUAGUUUCACAGUUACAAGUCAUUUUCUCAUUACUUUGACUCUAUCAUUUUCUCUUGUUAUAGGCAUUACGAUCGUUGGAUUUCAAAGACAUGGGCUUCAUUUUUUGAGCUUCUCAUUACCAGCAGGAGUCCCACUACCGUUAGCACCUUUUUUAGUACUCCUUGAGCUAAUCCCUCAUUGUUUUCGUGCAUUAAGCUCAGGAAUACGUUUAUUUGCUAAUAUGAUGGCCGGUCAUAGUUCAGUGAAGAUUUUAAGUGGGUCUGCUUGGACUAUACUAUUAUUGAAUAAUGUAUUCUAUUUCAUAGGAGAUCCUGGUCCUUUCUUUAUAGUUCUUGCAUUAACCGGUCCGGAAUUAGGUGUAGCUAUAUUACAAGCUCAUGUUUCUACGAUCUCAAUCUGUAUUUACUUGAAUGAUGCUACAAAUCUCCAUCAAUAUUAGUUCUUUCAUAAUUGAAUCAAAAUGAGGAGCCGGGCAACUGCUAUGCUUUUGCAGCUCAUUUACAUUACUUGGAUUGGAGAGCUAUCAACUAUCCUUUUGGAAGCGGAUAGUAUACAGUGCUAAUUCUCCAAAAUACAUAGGAAAAGCCAACUCAUCAUGAUAUUUCCACUCCAUUUUCAUUACGAAGAUGUCUCACGUCAGGAUCCGUUGCUCAAACCGAAUCACGCCAACGUUAUGGAAGUUCCUGGAUCGUUUGAAAUCAGAUUAGUACCAUCAGCUGCCUUCAUUAUUCCAUUUUCUAAGUUCGCUAUGGAGAUGGAGUGCGGUCAGAGAUUCAUACAGAAACAAAGGAGCCCUUAUUUCCAAGCUGGAAAGGUCAAGUCGUUUCGAUCCAAUACUUUCUUGGGAUCUGAAAAAGACACUGCAUAUGUCAGUGACUUUGAACGACAAAGCGCUCUCCGAGGGCUUGGAAUGUCACAUUUGAUGGUCAGAAUCUCGAUGGUAAUGUCUAUAUUAGAUUCUAAGGUCGAAAUACGGGAAAACCCCAUCCAAUUCUCGAUGGAAACAGAGUUUUUCGAAUUCUCCCCGGAACUAGAAGAGCAUUUCGAGAUCUUCGAGCAUAUUAAAGGGUUCAAUGUGACUAUUGUGACUUCGGCCAACACAAAAGAUGAGACUUUACCAUUGUGGAGCGGCUUUUUGCUAAAAGAUUAAGGGGAGACUAAGUCAGAUGUCGGAGAAGCGAAAUAUACUUGAUCACAAACGUAGAUUGCUUGCGGCUAAAUAUGAAUUGAGACGAAAGCUUUAUAAAGCCUUUAGUAAGGAUUCCGAUCUUCCAUAUGAGAUGCGGGACAAGCUUCGUUAUAAGUUGUCCAUGUUGCCAAGAAAUAGUGCCUUUGCACGAAUAAGAAACCGAUGUAUUUCCACGGGUCGCCCUCGUUCCGUAGUUAAGUUCUUUCGCAUUUCUCGUAUUGUUUUUCGUGGAUUAGCAUCUCGAGGUCCUUUGAUGGGCAUUACAAAAUCCUCUUGGUAGCACAACAAAGGUUAUAGCUCCGAAGCUGGUACACAAGCAAGGGUUUUAGGUACAUUACCAUAUGGCUCCUGACCGAAAAGACCUAAUAGAGUAAUCCCAACUCUCGCAGCAGAGAUGAUAACAGCACGGGAAUCGAUUGGCUCUCCACCGAAUCAGACAUAGACUUCAAGCUGGGUAGUACUCUUGGAAAGAUAGAAGAUCACCCCGUGAACAACAUCUAAAGUGACGAAUGGCACCACCAAGACAUUAUUAACAAUUCUUUUUCCAUUGUCAGAGAACUCUUGUUCAUGUUCACGCCUACGUGCUGAGCCCACCAUUUAAGUCAGAGUCUGGGAGUGGGCCCCAUUACUAACACAACCAAAUAGGGUUCCAAAUGAGAAAGACCAAUAUGUUAUUCGUUUCGUUGGUAGAACCUACGCUCAUUUUACAAUAUGAUAGUUGAUUGACUCUCUCUCGUCCAAUAAAAAGCCAUAAUAGUAUAUCCGAGAGUCAAGUCACUUUCAACACUUCUGAUUCUCUCCUUUCCAAAGCUCCACAAGGCAAGCAAAAUACGUCAAGUAAUAGGAGUCGAAAUUCCAUAAGUAAUAGGACAUGACAUACUGUAGUAGCUUGGUUUGUUCAUUGGUCUUUCUUUCUUUUUGAGUUCUUUCUUAGUUUAGAUGGAAAUCGACGUUCUUUUCCAAAGUAGUAGGGCACUUCUUAAUUCAAGGCUUUUCUUUCAUAGGGUUCUCUUAAUGACUAGUCGUUUGAAGCCUUAAUCAAUCAAGUUUCCGUUUCUUUUGCUUGGCCCGUUGCCCAGUCACAGCCUCCUUCUCGCCCAAAUUGGAUUAAUGCAGGCAGCUUUUUUCUGAUUCAGGGCGCAGCGAAGCCCAUUUCUAUAUCAAGGCAAAGAGAUCAAAUAAGGGGAAGAGGAGUUUUCACGAAAGAAGAUAAAUGACUCUAAGGAACCAACGAUUCUCUAUUCUUAAACAACCCAUACCCUCCACACUUAACCAGCAUUUUAUAAAUUAUCCAACUCCGAGCAAUAUUAGUUAUUGGUGGGGUUUCGGUCCGUUAGCUGGUAUUUGUUUAGUGAUUCAGAUAGUAACUGGCGUUUUUUUAGCUAUGCAUUACACACCUCAUGUGGAUCUAGCUUUCAACAGCGUAGAACACAUUAUGAGAGAUGUUGAAGGUGGCUGGUUGCUCCGUUAUAUGCAUGCUAAUGGGGCAAGUAUGUUUCUCAUUGUGGUUCACCUUCAUAUUUUUCGUGGUCUAUAUUAUGCGAGUUAUUGCAGUCCUAGGGAAUUUGUUCGGUGUCUCGGAGUUGUCAUAUUCCUAUUAAUGAUUGUGACAGCUUUUAUAGGAUACGUACCACCUUGGGGUCAGAUGAGCUUUUGGGGAGCUACAGUAAUUACAAGCUUAGCUAGCGCCAUACCAGUAGUAGGAGAUACAAUAGUGACUUGGCUUUGGGGUGGUUUCUCCGUGGACAAUGCAACCUUAAAUCGUUUUUUUAGUCUCCAUUAUUUACUCCCCCUUAUUCUAGUAGGCGCCAGUCUUCUUCAUCUGGCCGCAUUGCAUCAAUAUGGAUCAAAUAAUCCAUUGGGUGUACAUUCUGAGAUGGAUAAAAUCACUUCUUACCCAUAUUUUUAUGUAAAGGAUCUAGUAGGUCGGGUAGCUUUUGCUAUCUUUUCUUCCAUUUGGAUUUUUUAUGCUCCUAAUGUUUUGGGGCAUCCCGAUAAUUAUAUACCUGCUAAUCCGAUGUCCACCCCGCCUCAUAUUGUGCCGGAAUGGUAUUUCCUACCGAUCCAUGCCAUUCUUCGCAGUAUACCCGACAAAUCCGGAGGUGUAGCCGCAAUAGCACCAGUUUUUAUAUCUCUGUUGGCUUUACCUUUUAUGAAAAAUAUGUUUAUUCGUAGUUCCAGUUUUCGCCCGAUUCACCAAGGAAUCUUUUGGUUGCUUUUGGCAGAUCGCUUAAUA